rnacentral:rRNA from 1 species
GCGGUAGAGGAGCGUCGUGUAAGCCAAUGAAGGUGAGUCGAGAGGCUUGCUGGAGGUAUCACGAGUGCGAAUGCUGACAUGAGUAACGACAAGGGGGGUGAAAAACCUCCCCGCCGGAAGACCAAGGGUUUCUGUUCGACGCUAAUCGGAGCAGAGUGAGUCGGCCCCUAAGGCGAGGCCGAAAGGCGUAGUCGAUGGGAAACGGGUUAAUAUUCCCGUACCUCACUGUAUUGCGAUGGGGAGACGGAGAAGGCUAGGUGAGCCAGGCGUUGGUUGUCCUGGUGAAAGUCGGUAGGCUGGAGAAUCAGGCAAAUCCGGUUCUCCAAGGCCGAGAGACGAGACGAACGGACCACGGUCCGGAAGUCAUUGAUGCCACGCUUCCAGGAAAAACCUCUAAGCUUCAGAUACAGUGGGACCGUACCCCAAACCGACACAGGUGGUCAGGGUGAGAAUCCUAAGGCGCUUGAGAGAACUCGGGUGAAGGAACUAGGCAAAAUGGUGCCGUAACUUCGGGAGAAGGCACGCCGCCGGUACGUGAAACCCCUCGCGGGUGGAGCCGAAAGCGGUCGAAGAUACCAGGUGGCUGCAACUGUUUAUUAAAAACACAGUACUCUGCAAACGCGUAAGCGGACGUAUAGGGUAUGACGCCUGCCCGGUGCCGGAAGGUUAAGUGAUGGUGUUAGCGCAAGCGAAGCUCUUGAUCGAAGCCCCGGUAAACGGCGGCCGUAACUAUAACGGUCCUAAGGUAGCGAAAUUCCUUGUCGGGUAAGUUCCGACCUGCACGAAUGGCGUAAUGAUGGCCACGCUGUCUCCACCCGAGACUCAGUGAAAUUGAAAUCGCAGUGAAGAUGCUGUGUACCCGCGGCUAGACGGAAAGACCCCGUGAACCUUUACUAUAGCUUCACACUGGACGCUGAUGUUGCUUGUGUAGGAUAGCUGGGAGGCUUGGAAACUCGGACGCCAGUUCGAGUGGAGCCAACCUUGAAAUACCAGCCUGGCAUCAUUGGCGUUCUAACUCAGGUCCGUCAUCCGGAUCGAGGACCGUGUGUGGUGGGUAGUUUGACUGGGGCGGUCUCCUCCCAAAGAGUAACGGAGGAGCACGAAGGUACCCUCAGUACGGUUGGAAAUCGUGCAUUGAGUGCAAGAGCAUAAGGGUGCUUGACUGCGAGACAGACACGUCGAGCAGGUACGAAAGUAGGUUCUAGUGAUCCGGUGGUUCUGUAUGGAAGGGCCAUCGCUCAACGGAUAAAAGGUACUCCGGGGAUAACAGGCUGAUACCGCCCAAGAGUUCACAUCGACGGCGGUGUUUGGCACCUCGAUGUCGGCUCAUCACAUCCUGGGGCUGAAGUCGGUCCCAAGGGUAUGGCUGUUCGCCAUUUAAAGUGGUACGCGAGCUGGGUUUAGAACGUCGUGAGACAGUUCGGUCCCUAUCUGCCGUGGGCGUUGGAGAUUUGAGAAGAGCUGCUCCUAGUACGAGAGGACCGGAGUGGACGCACCUCUGGUGUUCCGGUUGUCACGCCAGUGGCAUUGCCGGGUAGCUAUGUGCGGACAGGAUAACCGCUGAAAGCAUCUAAGCGGGAAGCCCCCUUCAAGAUGAGAUCUCCCCGAGGCCUCGAGCCUCCUGAAGGGCCCAGCGAGACCAGCUGGUUGAUAGGCCGGAUGUGGAAGCGCUGCAAGGCGUUGAGCUAACCGGUACUAAUGGCCCGUGAGGCUUGACCAUAUAACACCCAAGGGGU